CGCGUAUUAUUGGGCUGUACAUUCCUGGGUUGAGCAUUCUCGGGCCGCGCAAUAUUGGUCCGGGGCGAUAAUACGAAGCCACUCUUUUCACAGGGCAAUAAUGUACGACCCCAUAAUUCGCGUCCAAUAAUUUGAGUCCCUUGGCUUUCAAUUAUUGGGCUGCGCAUUAUUGGUACAGGUCGAGAAAGCCCGACCCAAUAAUGUACGACCCAAUAAUAGGAAGCCAAAAACCAGAGAGAUUCUUUUUUUUAAGGGAGCUGUCAAAAUUAGUAGGGACGUUCUGACAUUAGCUCUUGACAAUUUAAAAAUAAUCGGUUUUUUCUAGUGCCAUCUUUCAGUGACAUUGACAGUAUUGUAUUGACACUUGUUGGUUUACAAAUACAAUAAAAUGAAUUCUAAUAAAAGAAACAGUAGACUCAGUAGAGGUACGAGGUACUGAAAAAAUAUUAAUUAAUGGAGAAGCCGAAGUUGGAGGAAAACAAGAAGAUUCGAGGAGAAUGGUGUGGCACUUAAUGCCGCCGGGACAGUAACCUAGCUGCAGCUCCAACUCUAGGGAAUUGGGCUGAAUGAACGCAACACGUGAUCGACAGCCCACCUGCUUCCUGCCGAGCGUCCCUACACUACAUCUACAUGGAUUCGCUUAUUCUGCUCUACAAAACUUCUGAGCUGAUACAAGCAGCCAGAAUGAGUCUCUGCUGAGUCGCCGGCGCCGGACGUGCGUCGCGCGCCUCGGGCGACUGACGUCUUCGUGUGAGUCGCCAAUUGCAGGGGAAGAUACGAAUAGUUAGGUAUAAAAGCUACUUUAGUCAACCUCGCCUCAGUACUGUUUGUAUUGACUGAAAUACAAGUAGCAUAUAUGAGACGUUCGGACGUAUCCGUGAAAAUACGAAGGUAAAGGAAAUUGCACUACAUUUUUAGAACCUAUUCACCUGUCAGUAAAAUAUUGAAAAGGAAAGUUCAUGAGUUUUAUUAUUUUCUUUCCUCCAACAGCUUCACAUGGAGCAAAUGUAAACCUUUUAUGUUAAUAAUAUCAGUAAUGUCAAGGUACAACGCUCUUUAGAGCAUAUUGCCAUUCCUUUUACUCGAGUGGCCUGUGGGUUAACUAUACGAAGCGAGCCCACGAUGCAUUAAAAGUGCAGUAUAACAAUGCAUUCAGAAUGCUGUUGGGCUUACCUCGUAGAUGUAGUGCAUCUGGCAUGUUUUGCGAAGCUAGAAGUUUUCUGGCAAUCAUGCGCAAGAAAAUAGUAUCUCUGCUAGGUCGAGUUAGAAGCAGUCCCAAACAUACAUGUUCGAAAAGUAGAACUCCCUUAGUAGGCCAAGCAAUAAGAAGUUAUAGAGGGAAAUGCUAGGAACACAAUUUUUGACUACGUAACUUUGUUUGGACUAGUUAGGAGGUGAACAUAUCAAAAGUCCCCGGCUGUAGCCCCGGUGCUGGGGGGUAGACUAGUUAUAGUCCAA